rnacentral:misc_RNA from 1 species
GAAAUGCGAUAAGUAAUGUGAAUUGCAGAAUUCCGUGAAUCAUCGAAUCUUUGAACGCACAUUGCGCCCUCUGGUAUUCCGGGGGGCAUGCCUGUCCGAGCGUCAUUGACACAAAUCAAGCUUGGCUUGUGUGUUGGGCCUUCGUCCCCUCGAAAGGACGUGCCCGAAACGCAGUGGCGGCGUCGCGGUUAUCCGACCAGCCAGAGUGUAUGGGGCUUUGUCACGCACUCCAGGCACAGGACCGGCGCCUGUCGACCCUUUCUCGAAGAGAUAUCUUGGUUGACCUCGGAUCAGGUAGGGAUACCCGCUGAACUUAA